rnacentral:rRNA from 1 species
CAUGCAAGUCGAACGAUGAUGCCCAGCUUGCUGGGCGGAUUAGUGGCGAACGGGUGAGUAACACGUGAGUAACCUGCCCUUGACUUCGGGAUAACUCCGGGAAACCGGGGCUAAUACCGGAUAUGAGCCGUCCUCGCAUGGGGGUGGUUGGAAAGUUUUUCGGUCAGGGAUGGGCUCGCGGCCUAUCAGCUUGUUGGUGGGGUGAUGGCCUACCAAGGCGACGACGGGUAGCCGGCCUGAGAGGGCGACCGGCCACACUGGGACUGAGACACGGCCCAGACUCCUACGGGAGGCAGCAGUGGGGAAUAUUGCACAAUGGGCGAAAGCCUGAUGCAGCGACGCCGCGUGAGGGAUGAAGGCCUUCGGGUUGUAAACCUCUUUCAGCAGGGAAGAAGCGCAAGUGACGGUACCUGCAGAAGAAGCGCCGGCUAACUACGUGCCAGCAGCCGCGGUAAUACGUAGGGCGCAAGCGUUGUCCGGAAUUAUUGGGCGUAAAGAGCUCGUAGGCGGUUUGUCGCGUCUGGUGUGAAAACUCGAGGCUCAACCUCGAGCUUGCAUCGGGUACGGGCAGACUAGAGUGCGGUAGGGGAGACUGGAAUUCCUGGUGUAGCCGGUGGAAUGCGCAGAUAUCAGGAGGAACACCGAUGGCGAAGGCAGGUCUCUGGGCCGCAACUGACGCUGAGGAGCGAAAGCAUGGGGAGCGAACAGGAUUAGAUACCCUGGUAGUCCAUGCCGUAAACGUUGGGCACUAGG